rnacentral:snoRNA from 1 species
CUCUUUGAUCCGGAGAUCGUCUCCAAGAUCCUUGUUGGCCUUGAUAUGGAGUAUAAUUCUGUCGUCUCUGCUCUUGCGGCACGGGUGGAAUCUAGCACGAUUCCGGAGCUACACAGCCAGCUGCUUAGUUUUGAUG